GGAUGAACUUUUGCAAGGCUACAAAUCUUGUUAAUAGUGAAGCUAACGUUCAGACCCAAGUGGUUCGGCUCUAGACUUUGUCUCAGUUACUGAAUUGAACUCUCUGUGCACUUACGAUGUGUCAUACCAGUUCUCACUACAUAGUGUCCCAAAAGAUUGGGCCUGCUCUUUCUUUCAGAGACAAUUAGGAAAAAAGUAAACAAACGGAGCAGGAUUUGGGCAUAACAGCAUGCUCCUCCCAUCCCCCAAAUCCCAGGAGUGUCACUGAGGCAGGAGAAUCGCUUGAACCCAGGAGGCAGAGGUUGCAGUGAGCCGAGAUCACACCACUGCACUCCAGCCUGUAAUGUCUUACAAUAACAGAAUGCAGGAGAGCACAUAUCAAUGAAGAAAAGACAAAAUGUACUUAUCCAUGAAGCUGAGGUUAAGAAACCAGUGUCUUCAAGAGCCAGGGACAGCACUGGGUCUGUGCAGAGUUGAGAGAUGGUGAUGACAUGUGGUUUCCAGCAUUCCUCACCCAGUCCAGGGACACUGUGGGUGUGCCCAGCUUAAGUCCAGUAACUGGAAAUACAAGCCCAAGUUCUGGAGAGUUUGAGCUGCAGAGAUAUAUAUGGGAACACUUUGAAUCUUGACUCAUUGGCCAUAACCAGCAGAGUGGAAAAUACAAGAAGAGAAAAAAACAUUGAACUGCGAUUUUAUAACAUCCUUUACUAGGCAGAGAGAAGAGGAAACACCAGGAAAGAAAACUGUAUUACGAUGUGAAAACUUAAUGUUGAGAAAUUCAGGCAUCUUGGGGUUAGU
rnacentral:lncRNA from 10 species